rnacentral:rRNA from 1 species
UACGAGGGGGGCAAGCGUUGUUCGGAAUUAUUGGGCGUAAAGGGUGCGUAGGCGGUUUUGUAAGUCUUGUGUGAAAUCUUCAGGCUCAACUUGAAGACUGCACGAGAAACUGCAGGGCUUGAGUGUGGGAGAGGUGAGUGGAAUUCCCAGUGUAGAGGUGAAAUUCGUAGAUAUUGGGAAGAACACCGGUGGCGAAGGCGGCUCACUGGCCAGUUUCUGACGCUGUAGCGCGAAAGCGUGGGGAUCAAACAGG